UUCCAGAUGAUGGGUGUACUAUUAAUU
rnacentral:piRNA from 1 species